UACGUAGGGGGCAAGCGUUGUCCGGAAUCAUUGGGCGUAAAGAGCGCGUAGGCGGUCCGGUAAGUCCGCUGUGAAAGUCAAGGGCUCAACCCUUGAAUGCCGGUGGAUACUGUCGGGCUAGAGUCCGGAAGAGGCGAGUGGAAUUCCUGGUGUAGCGGUGAAAUGCGCAGAUAUCAGGAGGAACACCAAUGGCGAAAGGCAGCUCGCUGGGGACGGUACUGACGCUGAGGCGCGAAAAGCGUGGGGGAGCAAAACAGGG
rnacentral:rRNA from 1 species